GUACUACUCCCUCCGUCCGGAAAUACUUGUCGGAGGAAUGAAUGUAUCUAGAUGUAUUUUAGUUCUAGAUACAUCCAUUUUUAUGCAUCUCUGCAACAAAUAUUUCCGAACGAAGGGAGUAUUUA
rfam:Triticum aestivum genome assembly, contig: Triticum_aestivum_CS42_TGACv1_scaffold_485261_6AS